UGCAUGGUUUAUUUAUUGCAGUGGAGUUCAGCUACCUGCUUUCCACCACGACAGGAAACAUGCAGGCGAUUCAUGAACGCACCCACCAUGACAGAUAAAUGGACAAAUGGACCCUGUUGAGAUCAGUUAUAUUGCAAAAGUGUAAAGAUGUGAUGAAUGUCUAGCUGACCUGCAGAGAAUGGGCAGAUACUGUGGGCAAAGCCGGUGGACAGAGCACAGAGGCAGGCUGGGUAAAGCGUCCAGCAGAGGAACUGCAGCAGGUGGUGACCCUUCAGACAACCGUACAGCCAUUGCGACAUCUCUUCUCUUCUCUGAUGAUGUGUUUGCUGGUGCGAGGGCGGGACAACCGGUCACUCACAUGAGAUUACAGCAGCAAACCACAAUGAUUUAAUCAAUUCCUGAUGGACAAACUACAUUUUUUCUUGUUCGAGAAGUCAUUUCAGUUGGAUAUAAAUCACAAUAUUGAAGAAAAGGCUAUUGCAACUUCUGUUUCAUGCCAACUUCAAAGCAAUUUUACAUUUCAUAAAAAAUGAUACAUGAUACUACCUCUGAUAUGAGCUCUUCAGACACAUGAGCUUAUAAACACUCUUUUCACACCAGCCCACUGUUUCUCCAUACUCUGUUGGUGGCAAGGAUUUGCAUGCUAUAUGUAAUUACCACGGAGAGAUUCAUUUGCCUGGGGAAAUUUGUUGCCUGGGUAAAUGUUUGUAAUGCGAUUGUAAGUAAAAGCACAGAUAGGCAAAUGUGACGCUGGAGUUUGUAACUAAUUUUUCGGUCUUCAUUAGAUAUUUGCUCCCGCAACGAAAAUAACUGCAAAUGAAGCAGCAGCAGAACAGUGAUGUUUUAGUUUCUGAAUCUGUUUUUAAAGGGGACCUAUACCCCUUUUCACAAGAUGUAAUAUAAGUCUCUGGUGUCCCCAGAAUGUGAAUUUUCAUCUCAAAAUACCCUACAGCUCGCGCUUCGGUUGCUCAAAAACAACAAUGCUGGAGAAUCUCAUGCAGCCAAAAUGACGAUUGUCAGUAAUGGUGUUCAGCCUUACAUUGUUCAAACCGGAGUCGGACACUGAUGGAGAGACUCAGGAAGAAGUUACAACUUUUAGAAUGCAUCUGGAUGUUUCUGAAGGGUUAGUAGAUAAAUUUAUGUAGUUGCUGUGGAGUUAAUUCAACUCAUCGACUAGCAUAUGCCGUCAUGUUAAUUUUCUGUACAAAUCCAGCGUUGAAUUGACCCUCGUUUGUGAAGCAGUCCGGUCCGGUGUAAAAUGACAUCACUUUAGUAGUCUAAGCUGUUUUGUGGGUGAAUCAUAAGUAACACUGACACAUUUCUGUCAAACACAACUUCUGUUUGUGCUAGCAUAAACCAGGGCCCCCAAUUCCCCCCCAGUGUUCAAGACAUAAAGUAAUGGCAUAAAGUAAUAGAGCAUAUGGAGGCUUAGCUAUGCCAUAGAAAUAUACAGAGCUGGCCAAUCAAAUCAAAGAAGGCGGGGCUUACUGUUAACAAGACGAGUGUGAAUUCCAAUUCAGUGCUUUAGUUUUAGCAGUGAAAUAGUACGUGGCGAGUAAGUAGCUAAACAUUUAAUAUUUGACGACUGUUUUAUGAUUGAAAUAAUCAGCGACCGACAGUAAUAUCCAGUGAUGCAAACUACUCAACAUUUUUGUGAAAUUUCACCAUUUUUAAUUGAUAACAUGCUAUUAUUUGAUUAAUAUGAUAUUAAUGUAAUUCAUAACUGAAUGUGACGAGACAAGAAACGUUUUGUGUUUUUAACAUAUUAGACAUACAAAUAAGAGUGAAUAUAUAUAUAUAUAUAUAUAUAUAUUUAAAAAAUAUAUAUAUAUUAUUUGCAAAUAGUUUAAAUUGAUUACUUAAUAAGUACAAUAGACCUGGAACUUUUUUUAGCGUUCUUAUGUCUUUUUCGUUAUUCCUUUAAAUCCCUUUUAAUCUUUUAAUUAUUUAAUAACUUUUAAUAAAAAAAAAAAAAAAACCCAAUAACACAAUAAAUAAAAUGAGAGAGACUCAGGAAGAAGUUACAACUUUUAGAAUGCAUCUGGACGUUUCUGAAUGGUUAGUGGAUAAAUUUAUGUAGUUGCUGUGGAGUUGAUUAAACUCAUCGACUAGCAUGUGGCGUCAUGUUAAUCUUUUGCGCAAAUCCAGCAUUGAAUUGACCCUCGUUUGUGAAGCAUUUGUGUAAAAUGACAUCACUUUAGUAGUCUAAGCUGUUUUGUGGGUGAAUCGUAAGUAACACUGACACAUUUCUGUCAAACACAACUUCUGUUUGUGCUAGCAUAAACCAGGGCCGUAACCAUAGACAUUGAAGGGGACAAUUACCCCCCAAUGUUCAAGACAUGGUUACGGCCUUGGCAUAAAGUAAUAGAGCAUAUGGAGGCUUAGCAAUGCCAUAGAAAUAUACAGAGCUACCGCAAAAACGUAAGUUCAAACACAAAAUUCUAAAGACAUACAAUAAUUUGAACUCAAAUCAUUGUUUCAUGUCAGUGCAUUUAUUUCUUUGGCGAGUAGCCGUGUGAGAAGCGGGGUACGUUGCUAAUAGCGACAAAACUGAAAUAUAGCAAAGGAUUUAAUGUCAAACUAAAGUCAUUUGAAAACUGAAAUAUAAAGUUUAAAGAGA